rnacentral:rRNA from 1 species
UACGAAGGGGCUAGCGUUGUUCGGAAUCACUGGGCGUAAAGCGUACGUAGGCGGACCAUUAAGUCGGGGUGAAAUCCCAGGGCUCAACCCUGGAACUGCCUUCGAUACUGGUGGUCUGGAGUCCGGGAGAGGUGAGUGGAACUCCUAGUGUAGAGGUGAAAUUCGUAGAUAUUAGGAAGAACACCAGUGGCGAAGGCGGCUCACUGGCCCGGUACUGACGCUGAGGUACGAAAGCGUGGGGAGCAAACAGGG